rnacentral:rRNA from 1 species
GACGAACGCUGGCGGCGUGCUUAACACAUGCAAGUCGAACGGAGUGGCGAACGGGUGAGUAACACAUGGGUGACCUGCCCUGCACUUCGGGGGAAGCCUGGGAAACUGGGUCGAAUACAGGAUAGUGGGGGAUGGGGCCGCGGCCUAUCAGCUGGUUGGUGGGGGAAUGGCCUACCAAGGAGGCGACGGGUAGCCGGCCUGGGAGGGUGGACGGCCACAUUGGGACUGAGACACGGCCCAGACUCGUACGGGAGGCAGCAGUGGGGAGUAUUGAACGAUGGGCGGGAGCCUGAUUCAGCGACGCAGCGUGGGGGAUGACUGCCUUCGGGUUGUGAACUCCUUUCACCAUCGACGCGGUAGCUAGAGAAGAAGCACCGGCUAACUACGUGCCAGCAGCCGCGGUAAUAC